CCCAGGACUGGGGGACUCCGGGCAGGUGUGUCUGGCUCUACAGGUUGGUGCAGUUUCCCCAUAUUCUCAGGAUCAAUCCUGAUCUGAGGCUGGAGAUGAAACAACAAAGACCCAACUGCAGAGGUGGAGAACCUGCCCCUUCCUGGAGAAGAUUUAGCUUCGAUCACAAUUUAGUCUACUAGCUCCUGAUGUGGUUUUCAAAAUAUUCAUAAAUUUGAAACUGAUAAAGACUAGAGUGCAUGCCAAGAAUAUGAACCCUGUUGGCACAGAAAUAGUAAAGAAUUAAAUGCAUUUUCUAUUUA